AAUCAACGCUGGCGGCGUGCCUAACACAUGCAAGUCGAACGCGAAAAUGGAGCAAUCCAUGAGUAGAGCGGCAAACGGGUGAGUAACGCGUGGGGUGACCUGCCUUCGAGUGGGGAUAACGUUCGAAGGAACGCUAAUACCGCAUAACAUCCUGCCUUUUAAGAGGUGGAGAGCAAAGCCUGGGACCGCAAGGCCAGGCGCUUGAAGAGGGGCCCGCGUCUGAUUAGCAGGUUGGUGGGGUAAUGGCUCACCAAGGCAACGAUCAGUAU
rnacentral:rRNA from 1 species